AUCUCAUGUUGAGGGCAUCUACGAAGUAACUCAUUGAAUCUUUCCCAAGCCUCGUAUAAGGAUUCAUCAUUUAUUUAUUGAAAAGUGGUGAUCUCAUUCCAUAACUU
rfam:Gossypium hirsutum cultivar TM-1 chromosome 8, whole genome shotgun sequence